UCCGAGUUGACCCCGGCAGUCUCCUAUGAGUCCCCGGCAUGAUCCGCUGGCAACAUAGGACGAGGGUUGCGCUCGUUGCGGGACUUAACCCAACAUCUCACGACACGAGCUGACGACAGCCAUGCACCACCUGUAUACCGACCUUGCGGGGGCUACAUCUCUGCAGCUUUCCGGUAUAUGUCAAACCCAGGUAAGGUUCUUCGCGUUGCAUCGAAUUAAAGAACAUGCUCCGCUGCUUGUGCGGGCCCCCGUCAAUUCUUUUGAGUUUUAGCCUUGCGGCCGUACUCCCCAGGCGGAACACUUAUCGCGUUGGCUGCGGCACGGAGGGAUUCGACUCCCCACACCUAGCACCCAACGUUUACGGCUGGGACUAC
rnacentral:misc_RNA from 1 species